UCCUUUUAUACCAAUCGAGAGGGGCGACGCUCCACCAAUCACGUUGCGCGGCCGCUAGACGAACUGUAGAGUCUCAGGAUUGGUUAUGGGGAUCAGUCUUGCGCGAGACGCGAAGCGUGUGGGUCGUUGGUGGUUCGUGUUUUCCCGGUGCACGUCGCGAUCGCCGUGACCUCUAUGGUAUCCCCCCGAAACUACGACUUAAAGUUUUGCUCGGCUCGGCUCGGAACUCGGAAAUAACAGAUAGUGAAGAGUGGAAGCCAUUGUGGAAUAUCGGCGACUUCUGAGUGUAUCGGAGAAGAAGUCGUCAACGUCGUUCGAUAAGGCCUUCCGAUAAAUGGGCCUGGAAAAAAAGCGGCGACGCGAAAACGGAGCAUCGGUUUUUUUGAUUCGUGCGCGAAUAAGCUCUCGCGUUUCUCGCGUUUUACCGAAACGCGUCGAAGAUUGUAAUAGUUAAAAUCCGGACGUCGCCGCUCGUCGCGAAUAAAAAAAGUAACGCGAGUGCAAGUGUCUAGAAGCUUCUUUUGGAAGGAUGAGGAGGAGGCUCGGAUGGCAUCAGGCAACAAUGGAACAAUUAUAUGUUUACACUUCGCUGCUGCGCGUCAUAUCGAUCUUCGGCAUCCUCGGGCGCAUCCGUUUGAUUCGAGGCGUCCUGGACACCGAACGACGGCGGCUCGAUGGCGCGAAUCGUCGCCGGCACUUCCGGGGGUGGCGUCAGAUACGAAACCGGCGACGUGGCCU